UACGUAGGGCGCAAGCGUUGUCCGGAAUUAUUGGGCGUAAAGAGCUCGUAGGCGGCUUGUCACGUCGAUUGUGAAAGCCCGAGGCUUAACCUCGGGUCUGCAGUCGAUACGGGCUAGCUAGAGUGUGGUAGGGGAGAUCGGAAUUCCUGGUGUAGCGGUGAAAUGCGCAGAUAUCAGGAGGAACACCGGUGGCGAAGGCGGAUCUCUGGGCCAACACUGACGCUCAUGCACGAAAGCGUGGGGAGCAAACAGG
rnacentral:rRNA from 1 species